UAAAAAAUAAAUAAAAUAAAAGCAACUUGUGAAAUAUGAAGUAAUGUCACGAAGGGGAAAUAAAAUUUUAGAAAUGCACUUAUUAUAAUUCAGUUUAUAUUUUGAUUACAUAUGUAAUGGCAGGAUGUCUUGGAUAUGGACGGGAGGGAACGAGAUUGGCCGCAUGUUGGUCAAUGUUGAAACUGAGGUUCGUUACAGUCUUCUCUCUAGUUUUGCGUAUUUGAAAAUCUCUUAAUCCAAACUUUAAAACAAAGAACUGAGCUCCAACUUUGCGAUUAACUGGCUGCUUGAGGGUGGGUGGCCUUUCAUAUAAGUGAGAACAUUCUCUCUUCUAUGUUCACAAUCUAGUCAUCUCCUACCUCCUUUUCAUGCGUCUUCCAAAUAAAAUCUUUCUUCAGUCAAUAACCUUGAAUUCCAUUACUCUAGGCCUUUAUCAACAAAAAUAUAAUCCUAAUACAGUAUUAUUACAAAACUUUAAACACAUAUUUUAUCAUCCUCAGAUAGUCAAAGCUGUUACAGCCAGCUCGGAGCACACUUCCAAACUCAGUGCUGAUGAACCAGAUCCAGGAAUCAUGCCUUUCUACUUGCUCAUGGGCUCAUUUCACAGCGAUCUUUAGGAGUAAUUGACUAAGGACACAUAGUUCGUUUACUGGGCAUGUCUUCUCAGACCACAUAAUCUUAGGCCAUUACAAUAUCACUUACAGCUUCUGCUGUUUUUGAACAAGGCUGCAAGAAGCAUUUUCAGGAAUUUGUGAGAAAUGAGGGCAUUGUAUGACCUAGUGUUUUGAGUAAAAGCCAGUACUAGAAAAACUAUUACUUUCCCCGAAAGAAUUGACCUACUACCUCCUCUCGGAUUCUAAUUAUCUAAAUGACUGAUUUCCCCUUUUUACCUUGACUAUCAAGAAGGCAAAGUCCAAUUAAGAAGUCACUUUCCAAUUAUGAAAAUAAUAAAUAUUACAUGCCCAUGAUAGAAAAGUUGUAAAAUACCCAAGGAGCAAAAACAAGGAAAAGAGAGACAUAAAAAAAUUAACCCAUGAUCCCGCCAUCCAGAAAAGCCACUGUUAAUGUUUUUUGUAAGAGACAAAUAUGAGACUCAGUUAAUGGAAUUAAAUUUACCAUUAGGGUUGAUAUGAGUGCUUACCUUUUACUUGGUUCUGAUUUUCUCAAUUUCCUACCUUUUAAGCAUAUGCAUGUUGAAACUGUUUCAAGCCAUUUGGGGGAAGAAGAGGUGCCAACAAAAAUUUAUCCUUAAACUAAUAUGGUGGCAAUUUGAGGCAACUAUUGUCAAGUUUGGGUCUCCUGAUACAAUACCUGCUUACUAUGGGAUUAUGAGGACAAGUGAGUCACCGGUUACACAUUGAAAAUUCCAAAGUACUAUAAAAUAAUGAUAAUAAAACGAGCUAACACUAUUUGAGUUCUUUGCUAUGUUUCCCGGCACAACAACCCUACAAAAUGGUACUGUUUUAGCAUUUCAGUCUUUGGUGUUAUUAAAUACUUCACUUCACUCUUUUGUAGAGUAAUGAGGUAUAAACCUUAAUCCCUAUAACCUCAGAAUGUUAUCUUCUCUGAAAAUAAGUCUGUGCAGAUGUAAUUUAAAAUAAUGACAUUGAGAUGAAAUCAUCCUGGAUUUCCACAGGAUGCCCUAAGUCCAAUGAAAAGUGUCUUUAUAAGACACACCUCAGAGGAAAAGUAAUGUGACCAUGGAAGAAAAGAUAUGAGUGCUGUGACAUCAAGCCAAGGAAGGCCUGGAGCCACCAAAAACUAGACAAGGCAAAUGACCAAUUGCCCAUAAAGCCUUCAGAGGGGGUAAGCCAUGUGGACAACCUUGAUUUUGGACUUCUAUCUUCCAGAACUGGAAAUUUCAGAUAACUUGCUGAGAUCCUCCUGUGACCAGGUGAUUAUAUGGACACGAUCAACUUCUGGGGGCUAAUGAAGACAGACAAACACAUGGCGGCUGAGAUCAAUGAGACAAAAGUCACUCCUCUUUCUUAGUAGCAGAGCUGGGAUACAAACCCAGGCAAUGGCACCACUCAGGCCUCACUGCCCAGUAGCCAUAUGAUCUCCAUCUGCACUGAGGUCAGCACAUAGGCAUAAAUGGAAGGAAGCAGAAAGUGUAUCAGGAGGAAACACAUGAAUGGAAUAAAACGUAAACUAGACUUCUGUCCUGCCGUUGGCCCUCCCAGGCUACCAGAGACUCUUCCUCCUGGCUGACCUCUUCUACAGAGCCUUCUCCUACAUUCGCUGGGGAUCAACCUCAGGAAGAAGAAGCUACAGAUGUUUCCUCAACAAAGCACUCUGAACAGAGCAGAGUAAUGCAGCUAUUCUGGACUUGGAACCAGAAGACCCAGCUUCACAUUCUGACAAAAGCACUGCCAUGCCAUGUCCUACAAGUCAGUCACCUCUCUAAAUCUUGACUUCUCCAUUUUUUAAAAAGAGAUGAUGUAAGAAUAUUCAUCUUAUACUGUUGAGAGAAAUGUAAGGGGUAAUGUAUGUAAAAGAACUUUGAAAUACUAAAGGAUCCCACUAACUUGAGGUUGUAUUAUGACUUGCCAUGUUUUAGUACUUAAUAGUGUUCAUACCAAGUAUUUGUGAUUUAUUUUUUCUUAUUUU